GCCCGGAUGGCGGAAUUGGCAGACGCGUCGGAUUCAAAAUCCGAUGUCCAUUGGACGUGCGGGUUCAAGUCCCGCUCCGGGUA
rnacentral:tRNA from 2 species